GCCAGGAUCUGAUCUUUCCGACUAAACUGAACUCCCCGGCAUCCACCUCCGGGACUCCCGUGGCCUCCCGCACCGCCGCAUCCCGUCCAUCCGGCCGGCCGGCGGCCGCCAUGGUCGCCGGCUCGCCGCCCUCCUCGUCUUCCUGCGGUCUGGGGACCCGUUGGUAAGAGCGGGAUAAAAGGAGGGUUUCGUUGCAAAAUCUCUCUUCCCCAUCGCCUCGGGUUUUGAUCUGAGCCGCACAGGGGAGAUCGAACGGUCGAGAUCCUGUCACGGGUGGAGUAGAUUGAUAAUACGGGUGUAGUUCGAGGGUCUCUUCGGAAUUAAACCAGUCGCGUGCUCGAGUGGGAUCGUGAGGCCCACUUAUCGGUAGCACCCGGUGGCGGCAACUCGCCGGAGACCGAACCGCUCGCCGGAGACCCCCCCCCCCCCUGGGCGCCGUGAAGCCACGGCGCCGCCAGAGCUCGCUUCUAGGAGUCACUGGGUUCUACACCACUCAGUCCAAUCAAACCAAGGCGAGGGGAGUGCCGCUCCGCGGUGGAAACUCAGAGAUCGAGGGAGGAGGAAGAUGGCCGGUUGGCCGCCGCCGCCGCCGCAUCUCACGCGCCGGCGGCCAGGUGGACAGGCCAUGGCGGCGCCGCCCAUUCUGCUGUUUGCUCGCUAGAUUUCAUCUUGGUCAAAAGGAGGAGGAAAAGCAAAGAAAGGUGCAAAUGCAGGACGCAACUAUUAAAGCGGGUGGCUUGUGAAGUACAUGGAUCAAUGUAUGGUUGAGGGCUUAAUGCAAGACAACUGCAGGAAACCCUAGCUGCACUGUUUGGAAGCUUCUUGUUGGAAAGUUGAAAUGCAGCUCAUUUUGAGCUUCUCAUGUGUGCAUAAAAACUCCUUUGAUGUAAUGAUGUAGUGUGGUAAUUUUGAAGGAUCUUUGGCUUAAUUAGACUUUGCUAGGUAUGCAGAAUGGUGGAUUUGACUCUCACGCUGAAUGGUGGGAUUUAUGGUACCAAGUUACCAUGACAAAUUUAAUUGUCUUCGCAAACUUUUGUCUUUUAA